AAUUGGUGGGCUGGCUGACACCUUUCAAUUGUUUUUCUUUCCUGAGGCUUCCCUGGUGUUUGUGGGCUGUGUGGCUGUACUUAAUUAUGGUGGGCCCAUGUACUACCGCUUUGACCACCGUUCUGGUCCUCUAGAAAAAUCUUGGCCCCGCUGGAGCCUCCUCCACUCUUUCUUCCUGAUGUGCAGAACGCAUAGCACCACGUCCCCGUCCUCCGCCCAUGGCUUGCAGCAGGUGGUUGUAGUCGUCGAGGGUGCGCGCCGGAGAGGAGGCGGGCCUAGCUGGAGAGGGGGUGGGCGGCGGCGAGAGGCUGCUGCCUGAGCCGUUUGUCGAUUUCGACCCGUCUGAUCUCAUCUUCAUGGCCGUGGCGAGGCUGGAGGUUGCGCCAUUCCCUCUCGCCACCUCCCUCGCCCGUGGCUCGCCGGCGCGGCUAGCCUUCGGCCCGUCCUGCGCAUGGCGUCCGACGACAGGGCCAACGCCGCGGAGGUGGACAAGACAGACGAGCCGACGGUGGCGGCACGGAUGACUACGACGGUGGGCAAGGCGAGGAAGGAGUCCGAGCGGCGGACGUACCUGGUGGUCGUGGUGAUGUCCAGCCUCGGGAUCACCUCCAUGGCCACCGCCCCCGUCUACUACUCAUUUGCCUGGUAGUGGCAAAUGGAGGGAGGUAAGAUUCCGGCGAUGGAAAUCCCACGGUGAGCACACCUGAGACACGCACCAGCCGAAUCGAUGUGCAUUUUUGGUUAAUAUUUGCUAAUUUGUGGGGAUGGCUCGCACAGGCUAGGAUGGAGUAAAUAAAUGUGCGGGAGGCUGAAGCUCCGCCCCUGUUAAGAUUGGAUAUGUUUUUAGGUUAUUAGGAAUGACUUGGCCAAAAACAUGUAGAUUUUUGUACCUUUGCCCUCUUUAUUCUUGCUGUAUUUGGACUGUUCAUAGUCUAGAUAGAUUUUGCAGAGUCGCAGUACUAGCUGGCUCUGCUCGGUGUGUAA